rnacentral:tRNA from 1 species
GGUGGCUCAGGGGUAGAGCACUUGCUUUGAAUGUAUGAGGCCCUGGGUUCGAUUCCUCAGCACCA